rnacentral:rRNA from 1 species
CAACCAUUGGAAACGAUGGCUAAUACCGCAUAAUGUUUUUUAUUAAACCAAAGUGGGGGAUCUAUUUAUAGACCUCAUGCUUUUGGAUGAACCCAGACGAGAUUAGCUUGAUGGUGGGGUAAUGGCCUACCAUUGCGACGAUCUCUAGCUGGUCUGAGAGGAUGUCCAGCCACACUGGAACUGAGACACGGUCCAGACUCCUACGGGAGGCAGCAGUGAGGAAUAUUGGUCAAUGGGCGAGAGCCUGAACCAGCCAAGUAGCGUGAAGGAUGACUGCCCUAUGG